rnacentral:rRNA from 1 species
UUUAAUGAGAACUCCGGAUUGGCCUCCUUUGCGCUGCCUCGUGUGGUGCAUUGCGUGGCCGAGAAGUUGUUCAAAUUUGAUCAUUUAGAGGAAGUAAAAGUCGUAACAAGGUUUCCGUAGGUGAACCUGCGGAAGGAUCAUUACUGUACCUUCGUGUUUUUAAUACACUGUGAAUGUGAGCGGGACCGGCGCGUGCGUGAAUCGUGUGUGUGUGUCUGCCUCGGCAGCGCACACACGCGAGUCGCCGCCGCCUCCAGUCAACCUUUUAAACGUAUCUAUUGUAGCCGUUUAAAUGUGCGAAAUUAUUAAAAAGAGAAAACUGCUGACGGCGGAUCUCUUGGUUCGUGUAUCGAUGAAGAACGUAGCCAGUUGCGAAAAGUAAUGUGAAUUGCAGAAUGAAGUGAAUCAUCGAAUCUUUGAACGCAAAUUGCACUCUUUGGAAUUCCAUUGAGUAUGUCUGUCUGAGUGUCUUGACAAACCUUACACCCUCGGUGUGAACUCGGGCUUCCGGCUGGCGUUUAGUCAGCUCGUGCCUGCAAGACCCUACUCGGCAACGCUUGAGACAACAACGUUUGAUCUUAGACAAGCUCCGUCCGACGUCCAACCCAAUUUCAAUCAUGGACCUCAGAUCAGGCAAGACUACCCGCUGAAUUUAAGCAUAUUAAUAAGCGGAGGAAAAGAAACUAACUAGGAUUCC